AGUGAACGCUGGCGGUAGGCCUAACACAUGCAAGUCGAACGGCAGCACAGUAAGAGCUUGCUCUUACGGGUGGCGAGUGGCGGACGGGUGAGGAAUACAUCGGAAUCUACUUUUUCGUGGGGGAUAACGUAGGGAAACUUACGCUAAUACCUCAUACGACCUACGGGUGAAAGCAGGGGAUCUUCGGACCUUGCGCGUUUGAAUGAGCCGAUGUCGGAUUAGCUAGUUGGCGGGGUAAAGGCCCACCAAGGCGACGAUCCGUAGCUGGUCUGAGAGGAUGAUCAGCCACACUGGAACUGAGACACGGUCCAGACUCCUACGGGAGGCAGCAGUGGGGAAUAUUGGACAAUGGGCGCAAGCCUGAUCCAGCCAUACCGCGUGGGUGAAGAAGGCCUUCGGGUUGUAAAGCCCUUUUGUUGGGAAAGGAAAGCAGCAGGUUAAUACCCCGCUGUUCUGACGGUACCCAAAGAAUAAGCACCGGCUAACUUCGUG
rnacentral:rRNA from 1 species